rnacentral:rRNA from 1 species
UACGUAGGUGGCAAGCGUUGUUCGGAAUUAUUGGGCGUAAAGGGCGCGUAGGCGGCACGUUAAGUCGGCUGUGAAAGCCCUGGGCUCAACCCGGGAACUGCUUUUGAAACUGCCGAGCUAGAGUGCGGAAGGGGCAACUGGAAUUCCCAGUGUAGCGGUGAAAUGCGUAGAUAUUGGGAAGAACACCUGAGGCGAAGGCGGGUUGCUGGGCCGACACUGACGCUGAGGCGCGAAAGCCAGGGGAGCGAACGGG